AAAGAAGUUCUUACUCCGGUGACGGGCUCCACCCAAAACUGGUCUGCAGCUUCACUCCUGAGCCAGGGAGACCACGAACCCACCAGAAGGAAGAAACUCCGAGCACAUCCUAACAUCAGAAGGAACAAACUCCAGAGGCGCCACCUUAGGAGCUGUAACACUCACAGGGAGGGUGGGCGGCUUCAUUCUUGAAGUCAGUGAGACCAAGAACCCACCAAUUCUGGACAUACUAUCACCUUUCUUUUAUUCAUGUCUUGUACCUUUUAGAAAUCUUUUCAGUUUAGCAUGGGGGUUCCUGAUUUUGUUUGAAUGUUUUGUGGAUGUUCCAAAAUUUAUAUAGCUAAUGCUUUAUUGAUGAAUUUUAAUUUCCUAUAUUGUAUUCUGAUUUAUUUUAUUUAUUUGUUUUAUUUUUUUGAGACAGAGUCUCACUCUGUUGCUCAGGCUGGAGUGCAGUGGCACAAUCUCAGCUCACGGCAACCUCCACCUCCUGGGUUUAAGUGAUUCUCAUGCGUCGGCCUCCCAAGUAGGUGGGACUAGAGGUGCACACCACCACACCAGGCUAAUUUUUCUGUUUUUACUAGAGACAGGG
rnacentral:lncRNA from 10 species